UACGUAGGUGGCAAGCGUUGUCCGGAUUUACUGGGCGUAAAGCGCGCGCAGGCGGUCGUUCAAGUCGCGUGUGAAAGCCCCCGGCUCAACUGGGGAGGGUCACGCGAUACUGAUCGACUCGAAGGCAGGAGAGGGAAGUGGAAUUCCCGGUGUAGUGGUGAAAUGCGUAGAUAUCGGGAGGAACACCAGUGGCGAAGGCGACUGCCUGGCCUGUUCUUGACGCUGAGGCGCGAAAGCUAGGGGAGCAAACGGG
rnacentral:rRNA from 1 species